rnacentral:rRNA from 1 species
AGUGAACGCUGGCGGUAGGCCUAACACAUGCAAGUCGAACGGCAGCACAGUAAGAGCUUGCUCUUACGGGUGGCGAGUGGCGGAUGGGUGAGGAAUACAUCGGAAUCUACUUUUUCGUGGGGGAUAACGUAGGGAAACUUACGCUAAUACCGCAUACGACCUACGGGUGAAAGCAGGGGAUCUUCGGACCUUGCGCGAUUGAAUGAGCCGAUGUCGGAUUAGCUAGUUGGCGGGGUAAAGGCCCACCAAGGCGACGAUCCGUAGCCGGUCUGAGAGGAUGAUCAGCCACACUGGAACUGAGACACGGUCCAGACUCCUACGGGAGGCAGCAGUGGGGAAUAUUGGACAAUGGGCGCAAGCCUGAUCCAGCCAUACCGCGUGGGUGAAGAAGGCCUUCGGGUUGUAAAGCCCUUUUGUUGGGAAAGAAAAGCAGCAGGUUAAUACCCCGCUGUUCUGACGGUACCCAAAGAAUAAGCACCGGCUAACCUCGUG